UAGGGAAUCUUCCGCAAUGGACGCAAGUCUGACGGAGCAACGCCGCGUGAGUGAAGAAGGAUUUCGGUUCGUAAAACUCUGUUGUUAGAGAAGAACAGCGCAUAGAGUAACUGUUAUGCGUGUGACGGUAUCUAACCAGAAAGCCACGGCUAACUACGUGCCAGCAGCCGCGGUAAUACGUAGGUGGCAAGCGUUGUCCGGAUUUAUUGGGCGUAAAGCGAGCGCCGGCGGUCAAUUAAGUCUGCUGUGAAAGCCCCCGGCUCAACCGGGGAGGGUCAUUGGAAACUGGUUGACUUGAGUGCAGAAGAGGAGAGUGGAAUUCCAUGUGUAGCGGUGCAAUGCGUAGCUAUAUGGAGGAACACCAGUGGCGAAGGCUACUCUCUGGUCUGUAACUGACGCUGAGGCUCGAAAGCGUGGGUAGCAAACAGG
rnacentral:rRNA from 1 species